UGGGCGUACGCUUAUAGACUCGAUGAACCCAGUCGUCGUGAAGCCAGUCGGCAGGCGUGCGAGCGGGUCCUCGAAUGAACCUACUCUCGGCUCAGUUAUCGCAACUCCAAUCCGCCACACUCCGCUUCCGCGACCUCCUCAAAGCCUGCAUCGGCCGGCGCGACCUCACCGCCGGCCGCGCCCUCCACGCCCUCUUCCUCAAGUCCUUCGUUCCCCCCUCCACCUACCUCGCCAACCACUUCGUCCUUCUCUAUUCGAGCUGCGGCCAGCUCGCGCUCGCUCACCAGUCGUUCGAUGAAAUUUCCCAACCGAACGUCUUCUCCCACAACGCCCUCCUCGCCGCUUAUGCCCGCCUGUCCCACCCCGACGCAGCUCAUCGCCUCUUCCUACGGAUCCCCUUCCCUGACCUCGUAUCCUACAACACCCUCCUCUCUGCCUUUGCCGCUGCGGAUGGCGCCUGCUCCCUCGAUUCCGUCCGCCUUUUCUCACACAUGCGCCGCCUUGGCUCUGAUGCCGAUGGCUUCACCCUCUCCUCUGUCAUCUCCUCUGUUGUUGAUGACGUCGAACAGUUACACUCGCUUGCUAUCGCCUCGGGUCUUGACUCGUAUGUAUCUGUCAACAAUGCUCUUAUCAGCAGCUAUAGUAAAGGUGGCCUCUUGAAUGAAGCCGAAAGGGUUUUUGGUGGGAUGGUGACCUCGCGAGAUGCUGUUUCUUGGAACUGCAUGAUCGUGGCUUACGGGCAGCACCGGCGAGGACCGAAAGCUCUCAACUUGUUUCAGGAAAUGAUGAGGAGGGAAUUCGAAGUUGACAUGUACACGCUGGCGAGUCUGCUGACAGCAUUCACAUCAGUGAAGGACUUAGAUGGCGGUGCACAAUUCCAUGCACAGCUGAUCAAGACGGGUUUUGAGAGGAAUUCACAUGUCGGAAGUGGUCUGAUUGAUCUGUACUCGAAGGUCGGUCAGAUACGCGACGCAAGGAAAGUUUUCGAGGAGGUUGAUGAUCCUGAUUUGGUUGUAUGGAACACUAUGAUCUCGGGGUACUCUGUCAAUGAUGAGUUCUCCGAGGAAGGUAUCCAAUGCUUUCGUGAGAUGCAGCGAGCCGGUUUCAGGCCUGAUGAUUGCAGCUUUGUCUGUGCAAUCAGUGCAUGCUCAAAUCUGUCAUCCCCAUCUCAAGGGAAGCAAAUGCAUGGACUGACGAUUAAAACUGAGUUUCCAAGCAACCAAAUCUCGGUCGACAAUGCACUAAUUUCCAUGUAUUCAAAAUGUGGCAAUCUCAGGGAUGCUCAUAUGCUGUUCAAGAGGAUGCCCAAACAGAAUGUGGUCUCGUUCAACACAAUGAUCGGGGCAUAUGCUCAGCACGGACUUGGAUUAGAAGCGUUGGUUCUGUUCAAAGAGAUGCUUAAUUUGGAUCAUGUGCCCACGAGCAUCACUUUCAUUUCUGUGCUUUCCGCGUGUGCUCACACCGGAAGGGUUGAUGAGGGUUGGAAGUACUUCAAUUCUAUGAAACAAAAGUAUGAUAUUCAACCUGGAGAAGAGCAUUACUCGUGCAUGCUAGAUCUUCUGGCUCGAGCUGGGAAGUUUGAUGAGGCUGAGGGGCUAGUCAAGAGAAUGCCAUUUGAUCCAGGCUUGAUUGGAUGGUCUACAUUACUCAGUGCUUGUCGGACCCAUGGAAACUUGGAGCUGGGUGCAAUGGCUGCAGAGAAGCUUCUUCAGCUGGAGCCUGCUAAUGCAGCUGCCUAUGUGAUGCUGUCAAACAUGUAUGCUAGCACAGGUAGAUGGGAUGAGUUUGCGACAGUUAGAAAGCUGAUGAAAGACAGAGGGGUAAGGAAGAAACCGGGUUGCAGUUGGAUUGAACUGGAGAAGAAAAUCCAUGUGUUUGUUGCUGAUGAUGUUACACAUCCAAGGAUUAAGGAUAUCUGCCAGUUCUUGGAGGAGAUGUCGAAGAAGAUGAAGCUAGCUGGGUAUGUCCCAGAUGUGAGAUGGGCUCCCAUAAGGGAUAAUAUUACAGGAGAGACAAGGGCUGGAUACCACAGUGAGAAACUUGCUGUUGCAUUCGGGUUGAUCAGUACUGCCGAAGGAGUACCAAUAUUGGUGGUGAAGAAUCUUAGAAUAUGUGGAGAUUGCCAUAGUUCGAUCAAGUUUAUUUCUGCAAUCACCGGAAGGGAGAUUACUGUGAGGGAUGCACAUAGGUUUCAUUGUUUUAGCGAUGGCACUUGCUCCUGUGGAGAUUUCUGGUGAAGACUCUCAAGCAGACUAAGUUUACUUGCAAAGCAUAAUAACCAAGCUUGAAGCACCUAAGGAGUGGGAUUCCGGGUUCUGAUUCUUCCCAAUAUCUCCACAUAUGCAACAUUUGCACUGCAAGCUGAGAUUUUAAGCUCUUUGUGUUAAUUACUGGUGGUGUUACCCAAAGUCAUGACCUACAAGAUCCUAAUAGUUGCAAGUGUUGGUGAUACAGCUUCCAUCAUGCUGGGGCUGCAGCUGACACUGUGUAUCACCAUUGAAACAAAGAGAUUUCAGAGCAAAAGCCACGGAAUACAAUGCGGCCCCUGAUCAAAACCAAGACAAUAAAGGUGUCAUCACUCGCAUGUCUUCAUCUUGCAUUGCUAUACUACUUUUUUCUUACCCAUCUCGUGUCUGCAAAAAUUGUUUGACAACUUUCAAUGUGUCUCUCUUUAAUGAGAGAGCAAAGGAUGCAUUCUUGUGCUGCAGAAGUUGCUGAGGUGAAGCUGGAGAGGAGGAAUGGGACAUGUCCAUACUUGCAGCUGUAAAUGUGGAGAGCAUGACAGAGGAGAAAACAGGGUAAGACGUCUAUUUUUGAAGUUUUGAUUUAAUGUACACCAUUAUCACGAGGGAAAAGAAAAAGUGCUUGGUAGAUUUAAGUUGGCAUGGGCGGUCCUGCUGAAAAGAGAAACGAAUCCAAAAGAAAUAAGAUGAAGGGUGUUUGACCAGCUCACGCUACCGCAUUAAGAAACGAAUGCAUAUGAGGUCGAUGGAAGGGGAGGAUUCGUGAUGCGAAAGGUGGGAAGCAUCGAGGUUGGAAGGAACAAGGCAUCCCUCCAUUGUCUAUUCUAUGUCGCAUGGCGUGUCAUUCUUGCAUGCAAAGCUGCUCGCUCCACCACGAAACUUUUGGCAUAGGGCCCGCGCCCUUGAGCACGCCUGCACGCCUUUCCCAAAGAAAAAAAUAAGAGGCUGCUUUGGACGUGGCCCACCCUUCUUUCUCUUGCAAAUUCUCAAUCCCAGUCAGUUCUGCCACUCUGUGAUUUGGUUUGGUUUGGUUUGGUUUCACGGACGAAGGUUUGUGUUCAUCCUGAUUACCAAGAAGCAAAAAAAAGACACCUGUGAGCAGCGAGCGAGCUUUCUUCAUCAUAACAAUCACAGGAGCCCUGCGGAUGGUCAGUGCAGUGACUGCGUCUGUGUCAGCACUCUUCACGUUCAUUUCAUGCUGCUCGUCUGCGGUGUAUCGGACGGUAUUGCUGCAAUAAUGCAUUUCCCAUUCAUAUUGGAUCCGAGGAGUCUGCUGGGGGAACAUGCAGUUUAUCGACGGCGACUGAUGUGCUCGAGACGAAACAGCAGAGGA